rnacentral:rRNA from 1 species
UUGAAAGGGAAACGAUUGAAGUCAGUCGUACCGGUGGGUAAUCAGCCUUUCGGCGUGAUUAUGUGGAGCGUGAGGAGUCAAACGCCCUCAUGCCUGCAUAUUCGUGUUCUUUGGGUGUACUUACCCGCAUGGUAGGUUAACAUCAAUUUCGAACGUCAUAAAAUGGUUGGAGGAAUGUAGCUUCGAUCUCGUAUUGAAGUGUUAUAGCCUUCGGCAGAUGUGAUGAUCGGGAUUGAGGAUUGCAACGGAUACCCCUCGGGCUACCCGUCUGAUCUCUGAAAGUUACUCUGGUGCCGAAAGCUCGCUUACGGUCAUCAAAGUUGACGUUCAACAGGUUAGAACGGGAUAAAUUCGUUAAGGAUGUUGACGUA